rnacentral:tRNA from 1 species
AAAUAAGAAGUAAAUGAUUACAUUUAAUUUCGACUUAAACCCUUGGCUCACGCCCUUAUUUU